rnacentral:rRNA from 1 species
AACGAACGCUGGCGGCAUGCCUAACACAUGCAAGUCGAACGAGACCUUCGGGUCUAGUGGCGCACGGUUGCGUAACGCGUGGGAACCUGCCCUUAGGUUCGGAAUAACUCCCCGAAAGGGGUGCUAAUACCGGAUAAUGUCUUCGGACCAAAGAUUUAUCGCCUUUGGAUGGGCCCGCGUUGGAUUAGCUAGUUGGUAGGGUAAAAGCCUACCAAGGCGACGUUCCAUAGCUGGUCUGAGAGGAUGAUCAGCCACACUGGGACUGAGACCCGGCCCAGACUCCUACGGGAGGCAGCAGUGGGGAAUAUUGGACAAUGGGCGAAAGCCUGAUCCAGCCAGGCCGCGUGAGUGAUGAAGGCCUUAGGGUUGUAAAGCUCUUUUACCCGGGAUGAUAAUGACAGUACCGGGAGAAUAAGCUCCGGCUAACUCCCUG